rnacentral:rRNA from 1 species
UGGGGAAUAUUGGACAAUGGGCGAAAGCCUGAUCCAGCAAUGCCGCGUGUGUGAAGAAGGUCUUCGGAUUGUAAAGCACUUUCGACGGGGACGAUGAUGACGGUACCCGUAGAAGAAGCCCCGGCUAACUUCGUGCCAGCAGCCGCGGUAAUACGAAGGGGGCUAGCGUUGCUCGGAAUGACUGGGCGUAAAGGGCGCGUAGGCGGUUUAGACAGUCAGAUGUGAAAUUCCCGGGCUUAACCUGGGGGCUGCAUUUGAUACGUCUAGGCUUGAGUGAGGAAGAGGGUUGUGGAAUUCCCAGUGUAGAGGUGAAAUUCGUAGAUAUUGGGAAGAACACCGGUGGCGAAGGCGGCAACCUGGUCCUUUACUGACGCUGAGGCGCGAAAGCGUGGGGAGCAAACAGGAUUAGAUACCCCCGUAGUCC